rnacentral:lncRNA from 1 species
AGCCCCCUCUGGAUUGAUCUAGGUGUCAGUAACGCACAGGUUUUCCAGCUCUAAGCAGAGAGGAGAGUACACAGAAGAAGGACAGAGUGACUGUGUGACUGGGUGUGUGUGUGUGAGUGAGAGAGUGUGUGGGAGGUCGUGCAGCAUGCAGCAGUAGAGAGGAUACACACACUCGCCAUGGCGUGUCCCCCGCCCCCUCCCCCUGUUUAAGAAGAGCUACGUCCUCCCUCUAACUCACCACUGGGGGCUUCAGAGUGGAGCCCCACACACCACAUCACACCACACCACACACACCGGCCCACUACAAUCCCAGGUGUGUGUGUGCGAGUUGGGUUCUCGCCCCCUUCCUGAGGGAAGAUGUCUGUGGUGAUGCCCCUGGAUGGGGUGAGGGAGGGGGAGAGUGUGCUGGUUACUGAGACCCCAGCCGGCACGCGCUGCAAAGGAAACACCAAUUUACCUGGCAAAGACAACUGCACUGACAACAACAACACAGAGCCUGACGACAACCUCUCACAAGACACACAGAAACGCUGUCAGAACCAUGGCCAUACCAGGAAAAGAGCCAAGUCCAAUGCCAAGCUGAAGCUGGUGCGGAGUCUAGCAGUAUGUGAAGAGUCAUCGGGUCCAUUCUCAACUGAUGGACCUCCAGAGACGCAGGACAUCAUUCAGCUACACAUCAGCUGUCCUUCAGACAAAGAAGAGGAGAAAUCCUCGAAAGAUGAGUACGAGAGUGAGGAGAGGGAGAAGAAGGACAAGACUCCUCGCAAGAUGCUCUCGCGGGACUCCAGUCAGGAGUACACAGACUCCACGGGCAUCGAUGUGCACGAGUUCUUGGUGAACACACUGAAAAACAACCCCAGGGACAGAAUGAUGCUACUGAAGCUGGAACAAGAUAUACUGGAGUUCAUCAAUGAUGACAAUAAUCAGUAUAAGAAGUUCCCUCAGAUGACCUCUUACCAUCGCAUGCUACUGCAUCGGGUGGCAGCAUAUUUUGGAAUGGACCACAACGUGGACCAAACUGGCAAAGCAGUCAUCAUCAACAAAACGAGCAACACGCGCAUCCCUGAACAGAGGUUUUCUGAGCACAUUAAGGACGAAAGGAACAUGGAUUUCCAAAAGAAAUUCAUUCUCAAGAGGGAUGAUGCAAGCAUGGACAAAGACGAUAACCAGAUCCGGGUUCCACUCCAGGAUGGUCGACGCAGUAAGUCCAUUGAGGAGAGGGAGGAGGAGUAUCAGCGUGUUCGAGAUAGAAUCUUUGCUCGGGAAUCCUCUCAAAACGGAUACAUCAAUGACAACAGGGGUAAUAAGGAGAGUUCGAGCAGAGCGUCCAGCAGCCGGCAGAGCAGCACAGACAGCGAUAUGAAGAGUCUGGAGCCACGGCCGUGGAGCAGCACAGACUCGGACAGUUCCAACCGCACACUGCGGCCACCCGUCACCAAGGCCAGCAGCUUCAGUGGCAUCUCUAUCCUCACACGCGGCGACAGCCUGGGCAGCAAGGGCUCGCAGGGUAGCGCCAGGGGGUCACGCACAGGUACAGACAUCACUUUUCCUUCUAUCAUCAGUCUCUUUCUCUGUGUGUGUAAUUUAAACACCUUUCAAAGACAGACACUAAUGCUCCAGUGUCUGUUCCAGGGAGAUGAGUUGACCCCAGGCUUCGGGCAGAUGUCUCUGAGCCGCCAGGGCUCCAGCGAGGCUCCAGAGCCACCCACCCUCUACCAGCCUCCUCCUGCCGUCCUGUCCCAGCACCCCCCACCACAGCCAAGUUACAUCAUGCCCCCACCGCCCUCUGGGUACCAACCGCCCACACCUCACCCACACCCUCCUCCACCCCCUCCGCCUCCUACCCAGCCUGUACUGCAGACAGCACCGCCUGCUCAGGGCUACAUGCAGCCCCCGCCACCACCUCAGCAGAUCCAGGUGCAGUAUUACUCAGCUGGUGGGCAGUAUCCGAGUUCAGGACAGCAGUACAGGUCCAUAUCCCACCAAGUGUCAUACCCUGCUCAACGCUCUCAGACCCUCCCCCCACCAACGCAGCCCUCCGCUCCUCUCCAGCCUAUGAUGGCGAGUCAGCAGCCAACGUAUCAGAGCAUGAUGGGAGUUCAGCAGCCGCAGAGUGCCAGUAUAAUGAGCUCACAGCGCACAGGCAUGAGCGGACAGAUGCAAGGCAUGAUGGUCCAGUACACACCCAUGCCCUCCUAUCAGGUGGCCGUAGCUAAUGAAACCCAGCCUGUGGUGCAGCAGCAGUACCAGCAGCCUGUCAUGGUGCCUGUUAGCCAGUCUGUCCAGGGUGCCAUGCCAACCCCUGCACCCAUGCCAGUCUACUACAGUGUCUUGACCCCCACACAACAGAACAGCACAAGUCCAUCUGUGGGCUACCUGCAGCCUCCCAGUUCAGAUCAGUACCAGAUGACCCAGUCUCCGUCCCCCUGCAGCCCUCAGCAGAUACAGCAGCAGUAUUCAGGAGUGCCGCCCCCUGGUCCAGGUGUCAUGGUGAUGCAGCUGAGUGUUCCAAAUGGGCCACAGUCUACUCAGAAUCCUCCUAUGGUGCAGUGGAAUCCCUGCAAGUAUUAUAGCGUGGAGCAGAGACCCAGCAAGCCUGAGCCACAGGCUCAAUCAGCUAGCGGUUCUAGUCCUUUGGCAUCUCCUACUCAGUCUCCCACUCCGUCUCCAUCCAGCAGCGGGAACAGUGUGUGCCCUGGACUCGGCCCACUUCCACUCAUUUCUCAGUUUCCUCGGCCUGGAGGACCCGCACAAGGUGACUGCACUGGGGUGGUGAGCCGUGUGUUGGAGGUGACGGAUCUACCCGAGGGCAUCUCUCGUCUAGAUGCCGAGAAGCUCUUCAACCAGCUCUCACUCUGCGGUGCCAAAAUCCAGUGGCUGAAGGACCCCCAGGUGCCCCGGGGGCCCACAACGGCCCCGGGACCCGGGGGAGGAUGCGGAAUGGGCAAAAACGAUGCACAUGACCCAGCCCACCUCUACACAGUGGUGGCCGUGUUCCCAAACACCAUGGCUGCCCAGAGCGCGUCCUUCAAGCUGAACAACAGUGGAGGAAGCCUGUUCAAACUGCGCGCCGCCAAAAAGAACUAUGACCUGCGCGUGCUGGAGCGAGCCAGCUCCCAGUGA